rnacentral:rRNA from 1 species
UACGAAGGGGGCUAGCGUUGUUCGGAAUUACUGGGCGUAAAGCGCACGUAGGCGGAUACUUAAGUCAGGGGUGAAAUCCCGGGGCUCAACCCCGGAACUGCCUUUGAUACUGGGUAUCUCGAGUCCGGAAGAGGUGAGUGGAAUUCCGAGUGUAGAGGUGAAAUUCGUAGAUAUUCGGAGGAACACCAGUGGCGAAGGCGGCUCACUGGUCCGGUACUGACGCUCAGGUUCGAAAGCGUGGGGAGCAAACAGG